rnacentral:rRNA from 1 species
GACGAACGCUGGCGGCGUGCUUAACACAUGCAAGUCGAACGGUGAAGCGCCUUCCUUUUUGGUGGGUGUGGAUGAGUGGCGAACGGGUGAGUAACACGUGAGUAACCUGCCCCCUUCUUCUGGAUAACCGCAUGAAAGUGUGGCUAAUACGGGAUAUUCUGGGUCUGUCGCAUGAUGGGUCUGGGAAAGAUAUUGUUUCGGUGGGGGAUGGGCUCGCGGCCUAUCAGCUUGUUGGUGGGGUGAUGGCCUACCAAGGCGGUGACGGGUAGCCGGCCUGAGAGGGUGGACGGUCACACUGGGACUGAGACACGGCCCAGACUCCUACGGGAGGCAGCAGUGGGGAAUAUUGCACAAUGGGCGCAAGCCUGAUGCAGCGACGCCGCGUGAGGGAUGGAGGCCCGCGGGUUGUGAACCUCUUUCGCCAGUGAAGCAGGCCUGCCUCGUUUGUGGGUGGGUUGACGGUAGCUGGAUAAGAAGCGCCGGCUAACUACGUG